UGGGGGAUAUUGCACAAUGGGGGAAACCCUGAUGCAGCGACGCCGCGUGAGGGAAGACGGCCUUCGGGUUGUAAACCUCUGUCUUCAGGGACGAUAAUGACGGUACCUGAGGAGGAAGCCACGGCUAACUACGUGCCAGCAGCCGCGGUAAUACGUAGGUGGCGAGCGUUGUCCGGAAUUACUGGGUGUAAAGGGAGCGUAGGCGGGAGUGCAAGUUGAAUGUGAAAUCUAUCGGCUCAACCGGUAGCUGCGUUCAAAACUGCAUUUCUUGAGUGAAGUAGAGGCAGGCGGAAUUCCUAGUGUAGCGGUGAAAUGCGUAGAUAUUAGGAGGAACACCAGUGGCGAAGGCGGCCUGCUGGGCUUUUACUGACGCUGAGGCUCGAAAGCAUGGGUAGCAAACAGGAUUAGAUACC
rnacentral:rRNA from 1 species